UUUCCAAUUGACAAUUUUUAGGUCUCAACCUCAAGUCCAUAACUUGGGGGUGAGAUAAUUUAAAAUUAGGCCUAGAAAUUUUCAGAUUUUUAUUGGUGUCACUUUUCUUUAUUUUCCGAUGACCACCACCUGACCAAGCACGGACAAACUCAACCCCCAUUUUUGUGACGAAGUUCUCUGACAGACCAUCCAUUUUCUCCUCACUACCUCCCUGUUUCUCCAUUUUUCUAGCAUCCAACCCCCAUUCUCUCCUUCUAUUCUCCGACAACAAACCACCAGACAUCGCCCCCGUUCCACCACUCAAAACCAGCCAGAAACCAGACCUCCACCCUUGCUGGAAUAACACAAGACCACUAGAUCCCUCACCUUUUCUUGUUGCUGCCAGGAAGCAACUUAAACUCACCAGCAAAAAGCCACCCUUUUCACGCCAAGCAUACCCAUCUCAGCCUCCUCCAUUUUUCCGGCGAAACAUCGCCGGAACACCACCCACCAGACCAACCGACCAAACUCUAUCUCGGGCGAAAACCCCAUUAUGAAUCCACUCAGCUGCUCUCCAUUCCUUGCCUUCCCCUUCCCCUUUUUCGAUUUUCUAUUUGUUUUGCAGGUUAUUGACAUUGCCGAGCUCUUGCGAAACUCAAGUCCAGCUGGCAAACUCAAGGUAUCAACUGAACAACAGUUCACCACCACAAACUCGAGCUCCGGCGAAACCAAACAAGCUUGGAGCUUCAUAAAUCAGAGCUCCGACGAUCUUUUUUUCCUUUUGGCUUUCAUCAACGUUAUAGUAGCAACUGGUGCUAAUAUUAGUUGGAAGCAAAAUGGCCAAUGAGAAAAUCUCUCCGUCAGUUUUGGAGGUCUUUCCAUUUUAAAAAGACUGUAUUUUAGUUUAAGUUUACAUAUUUUAUAUGUUGAAAUUUGUUGGGUUUUAUUUGCUCUAAAUUUCUUACCAUAAAUAAAUUUUCUUUUUAGGAAAAUAUUUUUGACUGACUUAUCCUUUUCUAGUAAGAAAAUGUUUAGAAUUCUAUAAAUAGAGACAUGUUCCUUCUAGCUUAAUCAGUAUUCACAAUGUAGUCUUAAAUGUUUUAAUAGUUUUGGUUAGGGACAGAAUUUAUGAGUCACAAGCUUGAUAAGUUAUCACUUGUGUGAACCUCCCAUGUAUUCCGAGUGAAUUGGAUGAUAUUGUUUCUCUCUGUAUUUCGUACUCUCAUGUUUAUAGUGGAUUGCUCAUCUCCUUUGUGGACGUAGGUCGAUUGAUCGAAUCACGUUAAAUUUGUGUCUUUUGGUAUAUUUUUUCGUUGUCUUCUUACUUGUGGUCUUUCGAGGUUUGCUUUGUUAGCUUCCGCAUUUACACCUGCUUAUUUACGGUCCUAACAAAAUUGACCGAUGAAGAAAUAACCGUCGAUUUCUAAAGCUUUUCAUGUUCAUAAGAUGGAUUUUUAUAAUUAAGUUAUUAUUUGAUUAAUUCAUAUUUAUUUAUUUGUAACUCACACUUCUACUAAGUGUGUUUACAUGUAACCAAGACUUGCUUCUUUGAAGCUAUUUGAAAGGAGUUCGAAUUA